rnacentral:rRNA from 1 species
UUCGGGGACAUUGGUGACAGGUGGUGCAUGGUUGUCGUCAGCUCGUGUCGUGAGAUGUUGGGUUAAGUCCCGCAACGAGCGCAACCCUUGUCUUUAGUUGCCAUCAUUAAGUUGGGCACUCUAGAGAGACUGCCAGGGAUAACCUGGAGGAAGGUGGGGAUGACGGCAAAUCAGCAUGCCCCUUAUGCUUAGGGCUACACACGUGCUACAAUGGGUAGUACAGAGGGUUGCCAAGCCGUAAGGGGGAGCUAAUCCCUUAAAGCUACUCUCAGUUCGGAUUGUAGGCUGAAACUCGCCUACAUGAAGCUGGAGUUACUAGUAAUCGCAGAUCAGAAUGCUGCGGUGAAUGCGUUCCCGGGUCUUGUACACACCGCCCGUCACACCACGGGAGUUGGAG